GGACCCGCACAAGUAGUGGAGCAUGUGGUUUAAUUCGAAGAUACGCGCAGAACCUUACCAACACUUGACAUGUUCGUCGCGACUUUGAGAGAUCAAAGUUUUCGGUUCGGCCGGACGAAACACAGGUGCUGCAUGGCUGUCGUCAGCUCGUGUCGUGAGAUGUUGGGUUAAGUCCCGCAACGAGCGCAACCCUCACUUUUAGUUGCCAUCAUUAAGUUGGGCACUCUGAAAGAACUGCCAGUGAUAAGCUGGAGGAAGGUGGGGAUGACGUCAAGUCCUCAUGGCCCUUACGUGUUGGGCUACACACGUGCUACAAUGGUAUCUACAACAGGAAGCAAGACUGCGAAGUUAAGCAAAUCCUUAAAAGAUACCUCAGUUCGGAUUGCACUCUGCAACUCGAGUGCAUGAAGCUGGAAUUACUAGUAAUCG
rnacentral:rRNA from 1 species